GACGAACGCUGGCGGCGUGCCUAAUACAUGCAAGUCGAGCGAGCUGAAUUCAAAGAUCCCUUCGGGGUGAUUUGUUGGACGCGAGCGGCGGAUGGGUGAGUAACACGUGGGCAACCUGCCCUAAAGACUGGGAUACCACUUGGAAACAGGUGCUAAUACCGGAUAACAACGACUUUCACAUGAAAGACGCUUGAAAGGCGGCUUUAAGCUGUCACUUUAGGAUGGGCCCGCGGUGCAUUAGCUAGUUGGUGGGGUAACGGCCCACCAAGGCAAUGAUGCAUAGCCGAGUUGAGAGACUGAUCGGCCACAUUGGGACUGAGACACGGCCCAAACUCCUACGGGAGGCAGCAGUAGGGAAUCUUCCACAAUGGACGCAAGUCUGAUGGAGCAACGCCGCGUGAGUGAAGAAGGUUUUCGGAUCGUAAAGCUCUGUUGUUGGUGAAGAAGGAUAGUGGCAGCAACUGGCCAUUAUUUGACGGUAAUCAACCAGAAAGUCACGGCUAACUACGUGCCAGCCGCCGCAGUAAAAC
rnacentral:rRNA from 1 species